rnacentral:rRNA from 1 species
AAACCUGAGAGUUUGAUCCUGGCUCAGAACGAACGCUGGCGGCAGGCUUAACACAUGCAAGUCGAACGCCCCUUUCGGGGGGAGUGGCAGACGGGUGAGUAACACGUGGGAAUCUACCUAUCGGUGCGGAACAACACAGAGAAAUUUGUGCUAAUACCGCAUACGUCCUUCGGGAGAAAGAUUUAUCGCCGAUAGAUGAGCCCGCGCUUGAUUAGCUAGUUGGUGAGGUAAUGGCUCACCAAGGCGACGAUCAAUAGCUGGUCUGAGAGGAUGAUCAGCCACACUGGGACUGAGACACGGCCCAGACUCCUACGGGAGGCAGCAGUGGGGAAUAUUGGACAAUGGGCGCAAGCCUGAUCCAGCCAUGCCGCGUGAGUGAUGAAGGCCCUAGGGUUGUAAAGCUCUUUCAACGGUGAAGAUAAUGACGGUAGCCGUAGAAGAAGCCCCGGCUAACUUCGUGCCAGCAGCCGCGGUAAUACGAAGGGGGCUAGCGUUGUUCGGAAUAACUGGGCGUAAAGCGCACGUAGGCGGAUUGGAAAGUUAGAGGUGAAAUCCCGGGGCUCAACCCCGGAACUGCCUUUAAAACUAUCAGUCUAGAGUUCGAGAGAGGUGAGUGGAAUUCCGAGUGUAGAGGUGAAAUUCGUAGAUAUUCGGAGGAACACCAGUGGCGAAGGCGGCUCACUGGCUCGAUACUGACGCUGAGGUGCGAAAGUGUGGGGAGCAAACAGGAUUAGAUACCCUGGUAGUCCACACCGUAAACGAUGGAAGCCAGCCGUCAGGAUGUAUACAUCUUGGUGGCGCAGCUAACGCAUUAAGCUUCCCGCCUGGGGAGUACGGUCGCAAGAUUAAAACUCAAAGGAAUUGACGGGGGCC